rnacentral:lncRNA from 1 species
AACAGGCAGGGGACAAACCAAAGGGCCUCCUUAAGGGGGCUGGACCCAGCUGGAACUGGGAUUGGCUAGUUCGAGGGGAGGAUCCAGGCCGGGCUAGGACUGGCACUUUGGAACCUCAUUACACAAUCAGAACCACAGACCCCAGCAAGGACCUUGCAGAGGGAGGAGAGAGCUGCUGUUCUUUCUGGGAGGGUCUCCGAACGAUGAACCAGAGAGCAGACAGAAGACUGGGGCUCCCUUCUAGGGAUCUCCAGGCUGGUUCUCACAAACCCCUGAGCCCCUUGCCGCUUCCUCAUCCAGGCUGCCUCCUUCUAUUGCAACAAGAUGGGCUUCGAACCGCUGGCCUACAAGGGCCUGGAGACGGGCUCCCGGGAGGUGGUCAGUCAUGUCAUCAAGCAAGGGAAAGUGAGUACACAUCCAGGCGACUUGGUGAUGCGGACACCAGUGUGUUCAGGAUGGGAUGUGUUAUUGUGUCAGGACACACACCUAGCUGGUUCCAAGAUGUACGGCUGAGCUGCCACUGACCCAUGACGCAGCAGGCCGCA